rnacentral:rRNA from 1 species
UACGAAGGGGGCUAGCGUUGUUCGGAAUUACUGUGCGUAAAGCGCACGUAGGCGGAUUUGUUAGUCAGGGGUGAAAUCCCGGGGCUCAACCUCGGAACUGCCUUUGAUACUGCAAAUCUCGAGUCCGGAAGAGGUGAGUGGAAUUCCUAGUGUAGAGGUGAAAUUCGUAGAUAUUAGGAAGAACACCAGUGGCGAAGGCGGCUCACUGGUCCGGCACUGACGCUGAGGUGCGAAAGCGUGGGGAGCAAACAGG